rnacentral:rRNA from 1 species
UACGAGGGGGGCGAGCGUUGUUCGGAAUUAUUGGGCGUAAAGGGUGCGUAGGCGGUUCGGUAAGUUUCGUGUGAAAUCUUCGGGCUCAACUCGAAGCCUGCACGAGAUACUGCCGGGCUUGAGUGUGGGAGAGGUGAGUGGAAUUUCCGGUGUAGCGGUGAAAUGCGUAGAUAUCGGAAGGAACACCUGUGGCGAAAGCGGCUCACUGGACCAUUACUGACACUGAGGCACGAAAGCUAGGGGAGCAAACAGG